GCCUGGGUGGCUCAGUCGGUUGAGCGUCCAACUUCGGCACAGGUCACAGUCCCUUGGUUUGUGGGUUCCAAUCCCGCAUCAGGCU
rnacentral:tRNA from 1 species